UGCAGCGACGCCGCGUGGGUGAAGGAGUGCUUCGGCAUUGUAAAGCCCUAUCGGCAGGGAAGAAGCAAGACGGUACCUGACUAAGAAGCCCCGGCUAACUACGUGCC
rnacentral:rRNA from 1 species